CUCGCCGCUGUGUUGCCACUCGCUGUCGUCUCGCCGGACGCCGUCCAUGUCGCCGUCGAAGAAGGCAGUCUAUGCUAGGUAUGAUAAAUGACAUGGCAGAAGCCCAGCUCCUCCUCUUUGGCGUUAUUGUCACCGCACCUCCAGCAGCGGCAAUGACAUAGUACCACUGCAUUCUUUUCCCCUUUCUCUGCUUCAAGAACCCUAGUCAUCACCUCAGGUUCUCUCUUUGCUCUGCUUUCCAGUCUAUUUUCUUUAAUUAGUUAGUUAGUUAGAAUUUGCAUGUUGUUAGUGGAUUUAAGCGGUUAAGAUAGGUUAGGAUUAGUUUAUUAGAUCCUUGUUAAGUUGCAAGUGUUGGAUUAUGGCUGUUAUGGAUUGAAUGCCGCUGAAAGUUGUUUGAUUAUGCGGAAUUUUUGCAUUGCACACCACAUGUUUAAUUGAAUGCCUAUGUGAUGCUUUGCAUUUGAUUUAUAUGUUGUAGCUACUAUAAAGAUUAAAUUGCUUUUUGUUAGGCACAUUGUUCUUGGAAGAGGCACUUUUGGCUAUAUUUUGAUGCUUGUUCAACUUACAAUUUACGGUAAUUUGGGUCUGUAGCUUCUAUCUAUUUCUUUCCAGUAGUCCACCACUUGGCAAUAACUGCUGGAUGUCCCUCAUAAUUUUUUGUUCCUGUAGUUUUGAGUUAUCAUAGAUAAAGCAUUGUCUUUGUGAUGAAAAAAGAAAAAAUUUAAUAAUUCCAUUUAUUUAUUCCUCUGAGAAACUGCUUUUAGAUGGGCUUUUUGCUUUGCUUCUAGUAUAUUUUAUGUUGGUCCUUGUGUUCAAGUUUGGAUAUGGUCUUGCAGGGAAGAUGAUAAAUGUUGGCUUUUUUCGGUCAUCCUUUUUCUGUUCAAGUCGAUACAAGCUUGCUUUGUCAAUUGGCACAUAGCAAAUAGAGAAAUCCAAGAUUUUUCUCUCUUUUGUCCGGAUCCAGAUGCUUUUUGGGAUCAUGAACCUGGUUUAUGAUAGCAAAUAGGAGGAACAUAAUGUGCAUCAACCACAACAACCACAAUGAAUGUGUUCCUUCUCUAAUGGGUUAUGGUAGACAACAACAACCACCGUAUCAAUAUAGUUACUAUCAUCAU